GCUGACCUUUUAAUAACCUUGUCUUCCAACACUAUACCUGUCAAGGAGCUGGUGCUGAAGAUGAGUCAGACUGAGCCUUCUCCACAGAAGUGAGAGACAAGGACAUCUCAACAAAUGGCAAUCCUGUAAUGGACUGUAAUGGAAGUGUGAGGCUCACGAAGGAAAGACCUCAUUCUUCAGAGGAAAUCAGAAAGGAGGACCCAUUAAAGGCUCCAUGACUUGCGCUAAGAUCAAGGGUUGGAUGCUUAACAGACUGAGCCAUCCAGGUUCCCCACUGAAACCUCCAUCUUAAAAUCUACACUAUGAGCAGUUGUAAACAGAGAUGGAAAAUUGGUGACAUAAAAGAACAGACUUCUAAGAGUGGACAGUAGGACACUGUUCCUGACACAGGGCUCCUGAACCUGGUAAGUUCCUAAGUGAUAAGAAAACUAAGAGCAUAUUUUGUCCUAAUCUUUGACCCUGG
rnacentral:lncRNA from 1 species